AUAACCUAGGGGUCUUGUUAAAAAUGCAGAUUCUGAUUCAGUAGAUCUGAUAUGGGACUGAGAUUCUGCAUGUCUAAUAAGUUCCCAGGUGAUGCUGA
rnacentral:pre_miRNA from 1 species